AUGAAACUCUAACGAACUCAUACACACACACACAAAUUAUAUAUCAGCAGCAAAAAUAUUCAGAAGCGAAUAUUUAUAUAGAUAUUAAAAUUGUCAUUAUUAUCGAAGGCAACACAAAUAGUUGAUAGUAACAACAAUAUUAAUAUAGAUGGUUGCAGACCUAAAUUAGCAUUAUAUAGCUAUAUUUUGGUGCUAAGCAAUUCUGGACACCAUCAGAAUUUGAAUGUGGCAGGUUGAGAAGGCGUUUCAAAAGGUUAAGAUGUGCUGAAGAAGGUGUCGCUGAUACCAAACUGAAGCCACACUGAGUACGUUUACACAACCAAUCCUUAGAAGUUCCAUAGUUUGAGUGGAAAGAAGGAAAACAAUUCACUAGAGAAUAUUAUUUCAGAGAUGAAUUUCUUUGAAAGGAUUGAUUUCUUUCUCACCCAUCUGACUGCAGCUACCUCACUCCGUUUCGAAGCGAAAUGCUACAGUGGCAUGUGUAGCUGCUACUGUGGUUGAAAUAUCGUUCACUAGAAGAUAACAAAUGGCACUCGUCUUUUAAUUUUGACUCUAU
rnacentral:lncRNA from 1 species